rnacentral:rRNA from 1 species
CCUACGGGGCGCUGCAGUGGGGAAUAUUGCACAAUGGGGGAAACCCUGAAGCAGCAACGCCGCGUGGAGGAUGAAGGUUUUCGGAUUGUAAAGUUCUUUUCUAAGGGAAGAAGAAAGUGACGGUACCUUAGGAAUAAGCCUCGGCUAACUACGUGCCAGCAGCCGCGGUAAUACGUAGGAGGCGAGCGUUAUCCGGAAUGACUGGGCGUAAAGGGUGCGUAGGUGGGUUGGCAAGUUAGUAGCGUAAGUCCAAGGCUCAACCUUGGAACUACUACUAAAACUGUUGGACUUGAGUGCAGGAGGGGCAACCGGAAUGCCUAGUGUAGCGGUGGAAUGCGUAGAUAUUAGGAGGAACACCAGUGGCGAAGGCAGGUUGCUAGACUGUAACUGACACUGAGGCACGAAAGCGUGGGGAGCAAACAGGAUUAGAUACCCUGGUAGUC